GGGUAGCUCAGUUGGUUAGAGCGUGGUGCUGAGAACACCAAGGUUGUGGGUUCGAUUCCCGUAAGGGACA